GACGAACGCUGGCGGCGUGCUUAACACAUGCAAGUCGAACGGAAAGGCCCUGCUUUUGUGGGGUGCUCGAGUGGCGAACGGGUGAGUAACACGUGAGUAACCUGCCCUUGACUUUGGGAUAACUUCAGGCAACUGGGGCUAAUACCGGAUAGGAGCUCCUGCUGCAUGGUGGGGGUUGGAAAGUUUCGGCGGUUGGGGAUGGACUCGCGGCUUAUCAGCUUGUUGGUGGGGUAGUUGCUUACCAAGGCUUUGACGGGUAGCCGGCCUGAGAGGGUGACCGGCCACAUUGGGACUGAGAUACGGCCCAGACUCCUACGGGAGGCAGCAGUGGGGAAUAUUGCACAAUGGGCGGAAGCCUGAUGCAGCAACGCCGCGUGCGGGAUGACGGCCUUCGGGUUGUAAACCGCUUUCGCCUGUGACGAAGCGUGAGUGACGGUAAUGGGUAAAGAAGCACCGGCUAACUACGUG
rnacentral:rRNA from 1 species